rnacentral:snoRNA from 1 species
AGUGUCUCCUUGAUCUCCUUCCUGCCAUUCCUGGCAGUUCAUGGAUUCAUAUGAAAAGAGACAAUUCACAGACUCAGAGUUGUGUUAUUUAUUUUAAAUCUUUCUAUGGAUAUAUUGGGAUGUUUUGUGAGCUUUC